GGAGUUGAUUGUGUGCUUCUUGG
rnacentral:siRNA from 1 species